rnacentral:rRNA from 1 species
GAUGAACGCUGGCGGCGUGCCUAAUACAUGCCAGUCGAGCGAACGGACGAGAAGCUUGCUUCUCUGAUGUUAGCGGCGGACGGGUGAGUAACACGUGGAUAACCUACCUAUAAGACUGGGAUAACUUCGGGAAACCGGAGCUAAUACCGGAUAAUAUUUUGAACCGCAUGGUUCAAAAGUGAAAGACGGUCCUGCUGUCACUUAUAGAUGGAUCCGCGCUGCAUUAGCUAGUUGGUAAGGUAACGGCUUACCAAGGCAACGAUGCAUAGCCGACCUGAGAGGGUGAUCGGCCACACUGGAACUGAGACACGGUCCAGACUCCUACGGGAGGCAGCAGUAGGGAAUCUUCCGCAAUGGGCGAAAGCCUGACGGAGCAACGCCGCGUGAGUGAUGAAGGUCUUCGGAUCGUAAAACUCUGUUAUUAGGGAAGAACAUAUGUGUAAGUAACUGUGCACAUCUUGACGGUACCUAAUCAGAAAGCCACGGCUAACUACGUG